rnacentral:rRNA from 1 species
GACGAACGCUGGCGGCGUGCUUAACACAUGCAAGUCGAACGGAAAGGCCCUGCUUUUGUGGGGUGCUCGAGUGGCGAACGGGUGAGUAACACGUGAGUAACCUGCCCUUGACUUUGGGAUAACUUCAGGAAACUGGGGCUAAUACCGGAUAGGAGCUCCUGCUGCAUGGUGGGGGUUGGAAAGUUUCGGCGGUUGGGGAUGGACUCGCGGCUUAUCAGCUUGUUGGUGGGGUAGUGGCUUACCAAGGCUUUGACGGGUAGCCGGCCUGAGAGGGUGACCGGCCACAUUGGGACUGAGAUACGGCCCGGACUCCUACGGGAGGCAGCAGUGGGGAAUAGUGCACGAUGGGCGGAAGCCUGAUGCAGCAACGCCGCGUGCGGGAUGACGGCCUUCGGGUUGUAACCCGCUUUCGCCUGUGACGAAGCGUGAGUGACGGUAAUGGGUAAAGAAGCACCGGCUAACUACGUG